rnacentral:lncRNA from 1 species
UAAGGUCUCUUUACAGACUGUUUAUAUGAUAUAAAAUAUAAUAAGUGCAGCUUAAGCUAUUAAGAUAAAGCCUUUAAAAUGACACGAGGACUACAUCAAGACAAAGUGAUCAAGUGAAUUGCAGAACUGGGGAACAGUGAAGGGCUGCGAACUUCCCAUCCAGAAUACUGUUUAGAAGAUGUCCACACUGAAUAUGUUUUAGAGCCUAGGAAAUAGGAAGAGAAUUUGUCAAGAUGUUCUUGGGGCUGCGGAGUCCAAGA